UACGUAGGUGACCAGCGUUGUCCGGAUUUACUGGGCGUAAAGAGCGCGCAGGCGGUCGUUCAAGUCGAGUGUGAAAGCCCCCGGCUCAACUGGGGAGGGUCAUUCGAUACUGAUCGACUGGAAGGCAGGAGAGGGAAGCGGAAUUCCCGGUGUAGUGGUGAAAUGCGCAGAUAUCGGGAGGAACACCUAUGGCGAAGGCAGCUCGCUGGGACGUUACUGACGCUGAGACGCGAAAGCGUGGGGAGCAAACAGG
rnacentral:rRNA from 1 species